AGAGCAUGUGGUGGAUGCCUUGGCGAUUACAGGCGACGAAAGACGUGAUAGCCUGCGAUAAGCUUCGGGGAGCUGGCAAAUAAGCUUUGAUCCGGAGAUUUCUGAAUGGGGAAACCCACCUCGCAAGAGGUAUCGCAUACUGAAUACAUAGGUAUGCGAGGCGAACCGGGUGAACUGAAACAUCUCAGUAGCUCGAGGAAAAGACAUCAACCGAGAUUCCGAAAGUAGUGGCGAGCGAAAUCGGAAGAGCCUUCUAGUGAUAGCACGACUGUUAGCAAAACGGGAUGGAAAGCCCGGCCAUAGCAGGUGAUAGCCCUGUAUGCGAAAACAGACGUGUGGUACUAAGUUAGAGAAAAGUAGGGCGGGACACGAGAAAUCCUGUCUGAAUAUGGGGGGACCAUCCUCCAAGGCUAAAUACUCGUAAUCGACCGAUAGUGAACCAGUACCGUGAGGGAAAGGCGAAAAGAACCCCGGGAGGGGAGUGAAAUAGAUCCUGAAACCGCAUGCUUACAAAAAGUAGGAGCCCGCAAGGGUGACUGCGUACCUUUUGUAUAAUGGGUCAGCGACUUACAUUCAGUGGCAAGGUUAACCGAAUAGGGAAGCCGUAGAGAAAUCGAGUCCGAAUAGGGCGAAUCAGUCGCUGGGUGUAGACCCGAAACCAAGUGAUCUAUCCAUGGCCAGGAUGAAGGUGCCGUAACAGGUACUGGAGGUCCGAACCCACUAGUGUUGCAAAACUAGGGGAUGAGCUGUGGAUAGGGGUGAAAGGCUAAACAAACUUGGAAAUAGCUGGUUCUCUCCGAAAACUAUUUAGGUAGUGCCUCAAGUAUUACCUGCGGGGGUAGAGCACUGUUUAGGCUAGGGGGUCAUGGCGACUUACCAAACCUAUGCAAACUCCGAAUACCGCAGAGUACAGCUUGGGAGACAGAGCACCGGGUGCUAACGUCCGGACUCAAGAGGGAAACAACCCAGACCGCCAGCUAAGGUCCCUAAAAUUGGCUAAGUGGGAAACGAAGUGGGAAGGCUAAAACAGUCAGGAUGUUGGCUUAGAAGCAGCCAUCAUUUAAAGAAAGCGUAAUAGCUCACUGAUCGAGUCGUCCUGCGCGGAAGAUGUAACGGGGCUAAGCCAGUUACCGAAGCUGCGGAUUUGCAAUUUAUUGCAAGUGGUAGGAGAGCGUUCUGUAGGCCUGUGAAGGUGUCUGGUAACGGAUGCUGGAGGUAUCAGAAGUGCGAAUGCUGACAUGAGUAGCGUUAAAGGGGGUGAAAAGCCCCCUCGCCGUAAGCGCAAGGUUUUCUACGCAACGUUCAUCGGCGUAGAGUGAGUCGGCCCCUAAGGCGAGGCAGAGAUGCGUAGCUGAUGGGAAACAGGUCAAUAUUCCUGUACCGAUCAAUAGUGCGAUGUGGGGACGGAGAAGGUUAGCUCAGCCAACUGUUGGAUAUGUUGGUUCAAGCCUGUAGUCGUGCCUGGUAGGCAAAUCCGCCGGGCUUAGAUGAGGGGUGAUAACGAGUCUGCUUGCAGACGAAGUGAGUGAUACCCUGCUUCCAGGAAAAGCCACUAAGCUUCAGCUAUUGACGACCGUACCGCAAACCGACACUGGUGCGCGAGAUGAGUAUUCUAAGGCGCUUGAGAGAACUCAGGAGAAGGAACUCGGCAAAUUGAUACCGUAACUUCGGGAGAAGGUAUGCCCCAAGUAGGUGAACUCGUACAGAGGGAGCCCAACGGGGUUGCAAAAAAUCGGUGGCUGCGACUGUUUAAUAAAAACACAGCACUCUGCAAACACGAAAGUGGACGUAUAGGGUGUGACGCCUGCCCGGUGCUGGAAGAUUAAAUGAUGGGGUGCAAGCUCUUGAUUGAAGUCCCAGUAAACGGCGGCCGUAACUAUAACGGUCCUAAGGUAGCGAAAUUCCUUGUCGGGUAAGUUCCGACCUGCACGAAUGGCGUAACGAUGGCCACACUGUCUCCUCCUGAGACUCAGCGAAGUUGAAAUGUUUGUGAUGAUGCAAUCUCCCCGCGGAAAGACGGAAAGACCCCAUGAACCUUUACUGUAGCUUUGUAUUGGACUUUGAACAGAUCUGUGUAGGAUAGGUGGGAGGCUUUGAAGCAGGGUCGCUAGAUCUUGUGGAGCCAACGUUGAAAUACCACCCUGGUGUGUUUGAGGUUCUAACCUAGGUCCGUUAUCCGGAUCAGGGACAGUGCAUGGUAGGCAGUUUGACUGGGGCGGUCUCCUCCCAAAGCGUAACGGAGGAGUUCGAAGGUACGCUAGGUACGGUCGGACAUCGUGCUAAUAGUGCAAUGGCAUAAGCGUGCUUAACUGCGAGACUGACAAGUCGAGCAGAUACGAAAGUAGGACAUAGUGAUCCGGUGGUUCUGUAUGGAAGGGCCAUCGCUCAACGGAUAAAAGGUACUCUGGGGAUAACAGGCUGAUACCGCCCAAGAGUUCAUAUCGACGGCGGUGUUUGGCACCUCGAUGUCGGCUCAUCUCAUCCUGGGGCUGU
rnacentral:rRNA from 1 species